rnacentral:piRNA from 1 species
UCCCAAGGAUGGAUGGGAUUGGAUGCAGU